rnacentral:rRNA from 1 species
AGUGAACGCUGGCGGCAGGCUUAACACAUGCAAGUCGAGCGGGGGAGGUUGCUUCGGUAACUGACCUAGCGGCGGACGGGUGAGUAAUGCUUAGGAAUCUGCCUAUUAGUGGGGGACAACAUCUCGAAAGGGAUGCUAAUACCGCAUACGUCCUACGGGAGAAAGCAGGGGACCUUCGGGCCUUGCGCUAAUAGAUGAGCCUAAGUCGGAUUAGCUAGUUGGUGGGGUAAAGGCCUACCAAGGCGACGAUCUGUAGCGGGUCUGAGAGGAGGAUCCGCCACACUGGGACUGAGACACGGCCCAGACUCCUACGGGAGGCAGCAGUGGGGAAUAUUGGACAAUGGGGGGAACCCUGAUCCAGCCAUGCCGCGUGUGUGAAGAAGGCCUUUUGGUUGUAAAGCACUUUAAGCGAGAAGGAGGCUACUGGUAUUAAUACUACCGGAUAGUGGACGUUACUCGCAGAAUAAGCACCGGCUAACUCUGUGCCAGCCGCCGCAGUAAAAC